AUUCAGCUGACGAGUCCCAAGUAGGACAAAACAUGCGUCCUGGAU
rfam:Schistosoma rodhaini strain Burundi genome assembly, scaffold: SROB_scaffold0000219